AAAAAUGUUGGAAAGGUAAAAACCUAAAACUUAUUCGCUAACUCAUUUCAUUCUCUUCUUGUUCGUUCUCUUCUCACUGACGGCGCAAACUUCUUCAUUCUUGAACUUGAAUCUUCGUUCUUCGAUCCCUUUAGUCUUUUCUUCGAUCUGUUUUCAUCUUUGACCGAUUGAUCAUCGUGGACCUUCGCUGUUUGACUUCGAUCUUCUUGGAAUCUUUCAUCUUCGACAUUCGUUCAUCUUACAAUCGUUCAUCAUCUUUGAUUUCAGCGACUUUAACAGAAUUAAAAUUCAGUUUGCUGCUUGGUUGGAACUUGAAAUUGAUAAAGCCAACGACUUCCUGCAGAACAUUUUCAUUUUAAUAACGAGUGCAAGAAGAAUGCUGUUAUUGAAAUGAACCCUAUUUUACUUGUGGCUGUAUCUGUGGUUGGAUUUUGACGUUUUUAGCAUUAAAAGAAGAUUGCAUGUUUCUUGGAUUCUUCUGGUGAUGGAAUUGUGUUCGCAUUUGCUUUUUUGGUUGCGUUCUUUCCACUCUUUGAAUUUCUUUGGUAGGAUAAUCAUUCAGUUCAACUUUAUUCAUUCUGCCACACGAUGGAGUGUGACAUGGCUGAGUUUCACUGUUUCUAAUGACUUAUCUUUUGUGAUUUUUUAUGCCAAAGAAACAAAAUGAGGAAAUAGAAAAAAAAAAAAAAAAUGAAAAACUCAAACUCUCUUCUUCUGGGUGCUUUCAAUUAAUGUUCGAAGACAGAAUUUCAUGUAUACUUCAUCUUUAUAUCAAUUUAAUGGAGUACUUCACUACUUCUUCAGAAAAGGGAUUGACUACCUUGUUUUUCCAGGCAGACAGUGUGUGUUAUCAAGGCUUAGGUUCUGAAAGUUCAGGCUCUCGUUAGAUUAUAUGUAGAUUAGUUGUUUAUUUAUGCGAUCUGGGAUUUCUUCAACUUGAUGAUGGGCUGUUGAAUAUUAAUGUCCUGUCUGUGUCGUUGAAGUUAGAACGUCUUACAAAAGAUGUGGAUUUGAUCUUGAUCUGAUCAUCCUCAUCUCUUUUUCAGGUGUACAAAACAUUUUCUUAAUCUUAUCAAACCAAAAAUAAUAGUUUUAGUCUGCACAAAAUUUUAUUUUCUUUUGCCUUUUGAUUCAUUUGCAGUAAAGCUAAUUAUUCCAAUGAUGUUUGAAGAUUUUGAGGUGAGGAUGGUAAUGGAGGAAGAUUAGAAAAAACAAAGCAAGGGGCUGUGUUGGUAUUUUGGUUUGGUGAGAAAGCUUACAUGUUGAUAGGGUUUUUGAUAAGAACCAUUUAUUGCAUGUGAUGUAGAUUCUUGUACACACCAUCUUCACUUCAAGGCCUUGGUGCAUGUACUGUAUCUGUAUUUCAUCAAUGCACCCUCUUAGGUUAUUGGAGGGUUUGGCAAUGUUACCGGACAGGUUGGGGUGUUAUUUUGAGUGAAGUAGAAGAAGAAUGCUGUUGUUGAAAUGAACCCUACUUCACUUGUGGCGGUUUAGAUGGCGUCGUCUAGGCGUAGAGCUCGUAACCGAAAUGAUGCUGAUGAAGAAACGGAAAUUCUGGUAGAUGUUGCGGUUGCAUUGUGCGCAAUUGCCGCGUUGGAAAUAGAAUUUGGAACACAUGGACGACCUAGGAAGAGGCAGAGACAAGAACUUGUGGAUGUGAUUGGCAGACUGACAGAUGUUCUUGUCGAUAUGAGGAGGGGAUCCAGGGCUGCAAAUCGUAGUGAAGAUGAGGGGGUUGGAGAGAACUCCAGUGUUCCAUCUGAUCCAUUUUCCAUGUCUAACUGUAUAGACAUUUUAACGUCUAUACAAGUUCAUACAGAUAUAUACCUCAAGGUUGUCAAAUACUUGUAUGAAAAUCCAAGGUUUAGGGAGGAAUUCAUACAAUUGCCACCCGAGCAUAGAUUAAAUUGGGUUAAUACUAGGUUUUCAAAUUGAUUAGGAUGAACCUGUUUGUCCUACGUGUAGUCUCACAAUUUUGUACUAACCAGUGGGCACUAAUCCCUUGUAUGGAUGUUUAUUUCUUGUGGCAUCUUGAUUUAGUUUCAAUGUAAUUAUGUUUACUAUUUAAUGUACUUAUACAAUGUGCUACUGUUUUAAUGUGAGAGCAUGUUUCAUAUAAGUUCGAGAUUGGAAGUACAAAUAAAUAUUGCAUGUUAUAUUUUUCCAAGUACCACAACAAUAUGAAUUGAUG